CAGAAGCUUCUGUGGCUGUUGAGUUACAGGUGUGUCUGCAGGGAGGACUUCUCAAGCUCCAGGGUUGGAUGCUUGGCCCCAACCCAGCUCCCAUGGCAGGGGUCCUCCAAAAGGAAAGACCCAAGUUUUUGCAGCCAAAAAGUCUCAUGACUCAGAUGAAUUCCUGAGACAAACACAGAAGGAAGCACCUGGAGGACAAGUGAUGGACCAAAAGGCUGUUCAGGAGGAGGAACACUCAGGGAGAAGCAGUGGCUCAUUGGCAACCCCUGCUGCAGGAAGGAAGGCGAUGCCAGACACGGGCACAGGCACAGCAGAUGCAGCCAGCACCACAAGACCUGUUACCGAUGCCCAGGAUGGCCUCAGAUGGGGUUUCUGUCAGGGAACAGUCUGCUGGCUAGGGUUACUGGCAGGCGUCCUUUAUUUGGAGCUUGUCUUCAUGUUCUGCUGCUUUGGAAUCUGGUAUUCUUGGAACAGAGAACAGAGCACCUCGGAACAGGAGUUGGAAGACGGUGGCUGCACCUCACACCCAGACAGCGUGAGCAGCCCCUCCAGCAGCAGGAAUGGCCUGGACAGCCCUCUCCAGUGUUCUGUGAAGAGGACUCCAGAAUAACCGUCUACGACGAAGCCUCCUCUUACACUGUAGAUCCCACUGCCACCUGCUCUCCCCAUGGGCCUCCCCAAGCUGCCUUCAUUCCUUUUUUUCUCUCCGUCUGUCCCAUCCCAGCCAUCCCAAAUUACUCUAGAGACUCCAGGACCAGCCCAGUAACCUCCAGCCCCUCCUCAGACCAACACAUCCCUCCCUCUGCCCCUGAGCCCUUGCCCGCUAAGCAACACUGAAGGUGACACCCCACCCCUCCACCCCCCCGCUUGCAGGGUAGGCAAUGGCCCAUUCCUGUGUUGAAAUAAAGAGAUGGAUUUGUGUCCUAGUUUGAAAGCAAAACCAGUGAGAGGCUCCAAGUCAGAAAUACAAUUUAUUAGGAAAAGGGAAAAAAAACCAAAAUACAUGCAAUAAUACAAAAGAAAAACCACUGACAGGGUCAGAAUACAGCCUGACACCCUGCUAGUUAGGGUGGUGGUAGCAGUCCAGCUGAAAUGGAUUUGUGGUAGUGGUGAUCCUGUAGAAACAAUCUGGUAGCUCUCAUCCUCUGGAAAAGCAGUGGGUAAGGGCAGCGGUUCCUCUGGGAAUCCAGUGGAAAGACUGCUUGUUGUGUCCCAAAACCCAGAUUAUAUCCAGCUGGGGAUGCUUAGCUCCUCCCCCAUGGGCAGAGCAUCUCACAGUGGGCUGAUA